AUUUGAGUAUAUAAGGUCCAAUCUGCUCACUGAAUUUUAAAGAGCCGCGGUAAAUUGACUGUGCUAAGGUAGCAUAAUAAUUUGUCUUUUAAUUGGAGACUGGAAUGAAUGAUUAAAUAUAAAAUUUUCUUUCUUUUAUUUAAUUUAAAAUUUAAUUUUAAAGUUAAAAAUCUUUAAUUUUUUUAAGGGACGAGAAGACCCUAUAGAUUUUUAUUAGUAGAGGUUAAUUAAUUUUUAUAGUUAAUUUUAAAAUAAUUUGACUGGGGUGGUUAAAAAAUUUGAUUUGCUUUUUUUUUGUUUUUAUUGAUAAGUAUAUUUUAUGAUCCUUGAUUUUGAUUAAUAGAAUAAAUUACCUUAGGGAUAACAGCGUAAUUUUUUUGGAAAGUUCAUAUAGAAAAAAGAGAUUGCGACCUCGAUGUUGAAUUAAGAAUUUGUUUAUAAGGAGAAAUAUAAAUAAAUAGUCUGUUCGACUAUUAAAAUCU
rnacentral:rRNA from 1 species